GAUGAACGCUGGCGGCGUGCCUAAUACAUGCAAGUCGAGCGAACAGACGAGGAGCUUGCUCCUCUGACGUUAGCGGCGGACGGGUGAGUAACAUGUGUAUAACCUACCUAUAAGACUGGGAUAACUUCGGGAAACCGGAGCUAAUACCGGAUAAUAUAUUGAACCGCAUUGUUCAAUAGUGAAAGACGGUUUUGCUGUCACUUAUAGAUGGAUCCGCGCCGCAUUAGCUAGUUGGUAAGGUAACGGCUUACCAAGGCGACGAUGCGUAGCCGACCUGAGAGGGGGAUCGGCCACACGGGAACUGGGACACGGUCCAGACUCCUACGGGAGGCAGCAGUAGGGAAUCUUCCGCAAUGGGCGAAAGCCUGACGGAGCAACGCCGCGUGAGUGAUGAAGGUCUUCGGAUCGUAAAACUCUGUUAUUAGGGAUGAACAAAUGUGUAAGUAACUAUGCACGUCGUGACGGUACCUAAUCAGAAAGCAACGGCUAACUACGUG
rnacentral:rRNA from 1 species